rnacentral:rRNA from 1 species
CAGCAGCCGCGGUAAUACGAAGGGUGCAAGCGUUAAUCGGAAUUACUGGGCGUAAAGCGUGCGUAGGCGGUGAGUUAAGUCUGCUGUGAAAUCCCCGGGCUCAACCUGGGAAUGGCAGUGGAUACUGGCUCGCUAGAGUGUGUCAGAGGAUGGUGGAAUUCCCGGUGUAGCGGUGAAAUGCGUUGAGAUCGGAAGGAACGCCCGUGGCGAAAGCGAGACCCUGGACCCCAUCUGACGCUGAGACGCGAAAGCCAGGGGAGCGAACAGGAUUAGAUACCCCGGUAGUCCCUGUCUCUUAUAC